CCUACGGGAGGCAGCAGUGGGGAAUAUUGGACAAUGGGCGAAAGCCUGAUCCAGCAAUGCCGCGUGAGUGAUGAAGGCCUUAGGGUUGUAAAGCUCUUUUACCAGGGAUGAUAAUGACAGUACCUGGAGAAUAAGCUCCGGCUAACUCCGUGCCAGCAGCCGCGGUAAUACGGAGGGAGCUAGCGUUGUUCGGAAUUACUGGGCGUAAAGCGUACGUAGGCGGUUAUUCAAGUCAGAGGUGAAAGCCUGGAGCUCAACUCCAGAACUGCCUUUGAAACUAGAUAGCUAGAAUCUUGGAGAGGUGAGUGGAAUUCCGAGUGUAGAGGUGAAAUUCGUAGAUAUUCGGAAGAACACCAGUGGCGAAGGCGACUCACUGGACAAGUAUUGACGCUGAGGUACGAAAGCGUGGGGAGCAAACAGGAUUAGAUACCCUGGUAGUCCAUGCCGUAAACGAUGAUAACUAGCUGUUCGGGCUCUACGAGCUUGAGUGGCGCAGCUAACGCAUUAAGUUAUCCGCCUGGGGAGUACGGUCGCAAGAUUAAAACUUAAAGGAAAUUGACGG
rnacentral:rRNA from 1 species